rnacentral:rRNA from 1 species
GGGCGCAAGCCUGAUGCAGCCAUGCCGCGUGUAUGUAAGAAGGCCUUCGGGUUGUAAAGUACUUUCAGCAGUGAGGAAGGUGGUGUAGUUAAUAGCUGCAUUAUUGACGUUAGCUGCAGAAGAAGCACCGGCUAACUCCGUGCCAGCAGCCGCGGUAAUACGGAGGGUGCGAGCGUUAAUCGGAAUUACUGGGCGUAAAGCGCAUGCAGGUGGUUUGUUAAGUCAGAUGUGAAAGCCCGGGGCUCAACCUCGGAAUUGCAUUUGAAACUGGCAGACUAGAGUACUGUAGAGGGGGUAGAAUUUCAGGUGUAGCGGUGAAAUGCGUAGAGAUCUGAAGGAAUACCGGUGGCGAAGGCGGCCCCCUGGACAGAUACUGACACUCAGAUGCGAAAGCGUGGGGAGCAAACAGGAUUAGAUACCCUGGUAG